AUUAGGAUAUGUAAUGUAUGUCUUAUGAUUAUGGGGUUAUAGAGAUAAAUGUUUAAAAUGUUGCUCUGGGGUGCCACAGUACAUGUAAUACUUUAUAGGUAGUAUGUUAUAAGUAUUGUGAUCAUGUUUUACAUACUUAAUACAAUAUGUUUCCUGUUCCUCUUACUUGUCUGUCUCAGCAGUCAGUUUGUGUUCCAAAUGGCACCCUAUUCCCUAUACAGUUUACUACACAGAUCCCUAUUGGCCCUUAUCAAAAGUAGAACAUACAGGUGUAUGUAACAAUUCUCAUUGGUGGAAGGAGAGGAGGACCAAAAUGCAGCGUGGGGAUGUGACUCUAGACCCUGAUACAGCACAUCCCAGAUUCAUCCUGUCUGAAGAUGGGAAACAAGUGAAUUGUGGAGACAUAAAACAGGAUCUCCCUGACAACCCAGAGAGGUUUAUAAUGUUCUCUAUGUCCUGGGAAAGGAGGGCUUCUCCUCAGGGAGAUUCUACUAUGAGGUGCAGGUGGAGCAGAAGACUUGGUGGAUUGUAGGAGUGGCCAGAGAGUCCAUCAACAGGAAGAAGAAAAUUCACCUGAACCCUGAGAAUGGAUGUGUGUGCAAGUGUGUGUGUGUUACUCACCGUCUGAAUGAAUUGCAAUCUGUUUAUCACUAUAUGAUUAAACUAACAGAGAGGAAAUUCACCAUGUACAAUUGAUGCUGAAUGUCAUCCUAUUGUGGUGGCAGAAUUUGGGGUGAGCUGUUUUAACUUCUCAUGGGACAUGUUCUGUGUUGGACUGUGAUGUUAUGCCUUUCAUAGACUCCUGUAAUUUCUGCACUCUAACACAAGGCCAUUGUGUUCUGGAACUGUUGCUUGUAUAAAUAACUGUUGUGUAACAAUAUGAUAGUAUUAUCACCUCCCACUAUAUAAGGGACAUGGAACCAUUUACUCUUGGAGUUCUUCACUGUGAAAUCAGAGACAGAUCUCCCUCACAACUGCUUGAUUAAAGAUGUUUCUAUUAUACAAUUAAAUAGUCUCUGCCUUAGCCUUUGGAUGGGGUUUUCCACAACAUUUGGUUCCGUGACCCGGAUGAGAGCGACCUGACUUUUUGAUCCAUUUCGCUCGGCUUGGACCCAGACAUCCCUCUGGCCACAACAAAACAAGGUAAAAGACCUUAUUCAAGAAUCUCUGUGAGGGACUGUCUGUUUUCCAGCUGAGCCUUAAUGGAGAAAGAUCUCUUGUCCUCCCCAUUCCCAAAAUGUAGGGGUUCCAUUUGGCUGAACUAUUUCCCUAAAAUAAUGAAUCUGUCUUGGGAAUGAACCGGUUCAGAGGAGCUAAAGAAAUUGAUCCAAAGAGUAAAUCUAAGGAAACUGAUUAAGUGUAUCUAAUAGUAGGGAUUUGUUUUCCUAUAAUCACAUGAACAUACUGUUGGAUCAGUGCCCUCUACUUAUAUUGGCACCCUUGGUACAUAUGAGCAAAACGGGCUGUAAAUAAAUGUCUUUGCUGUUCA